CCCUGGCAGUCAGAGGCGAUGAAGGACGUGCUAAUCUGCGAUAAGCGUCGGUAAGGUGAUAUGAACCGUUAUAACCGGCGAUUUCCGAAUGGGGAAACCCAGUGUGUUUCGACACACUAUCAUUAACUGAAUCCAUAGGUUAAUGAGGCGAACCGGGGGAACUGAAACAUCUAAGUACCCCGAGGAAAAGAAAUCAACCGAGAUUCCCCCAGUAGCGGCGAGCGAACGGGGAGCAGCCCAGAGCCUGAAUCAGUGUGUGUGUUAGUGGAAGCGUCUGGAAAGGCGCGCGAUACAGGGUGACAGCCCCGUACACAAAAAUGCACAUGCUGUGAGCUCGAUGAGUAGGGCGGGACACGUGGUAUCCUGUCUGAAUAUGGGGGGACCAUCCUCCAAGGCUAAAUACUCCUGACUGACCGAUAGUGAACCAGUACCGUGAGGGAAAGGCGAAAAGAACCCCGGCGAGGGGAGUGAAAAAGAACCUGAAACCGUGUACGUACAAGCAGUGGGAGCACGCUUAGGCGUGUGACUGCGUACCUUUUGUAUAAUGGGUCAGCGACUUAUAUUCUGUAGCAAGGUUAACCGAAUAGGGGAGCCGAAGGGAAACCGAGUCUUAACUGGGCGUUAAGUUGCAGGGUAUAGACCCGAAACCCGGUGAUCUAGCCAUGGGCAGGUUGAAGGUUGGGUAACACUAACUGGAGGACCGAACCGACUAAUGUUGAAAAAUUAGCGGAUGACUUGUGGCUGGGGGUGAAAGGCCAAUCAAACCGGGAGAUAGCUGGUUCUCCCCGAAAGCUAUUUAGGUAGCGCCUCGUGAAUUCAUCUCCGGGGGUAGAGCACUGUUUCGGCAAGGGGGUCAUCCCGACUUACCAACCCGAUGCAAACUGCGAAUACCGGAGAAUGUUAUCACGGGAGACACACGGCGGGUGCUAACGUCCGUCGUGAAGAGGGAAACAACCCAGACCGCCAGCUAAGGUCCCAAAGUCAUGGUUAAGUGGGAAACGAUGUGGGAAGGCCCAGACAGCCAGGAUGUUGGCUUAGAAGCAGCCAUCAUUUAAAGAAAGCGUAAUAGCUCACUGGUCGAGUCGGCCUGCGCGGAAGAUGUAACGGGGCUAAACCAUGCACCGAAGCUGCGGCAGCGACGCUGAUGCGUUGUUGGGUAGGGGAGCGUUCUGUAAGCCUGCGAAGGUGUGCUGUGAGGCAUGCUGGAGGUAUCAGAAGUGCGAAUGCUGACAUAAGUAACGAUAAAGCGGGUGAAAAGCCCGCUCGCCGGAAGACCAAGGGUUCCUGUCCAACGUUAAUCGGGGCAGGGUGAGUCGACCCCUAAGGCGAGGCCGAAAGGCGUAGUCGAUGGGAAACAGGUUAAUAUUCCUGUACUUGGUGUUACUGCGAAGGGGGGACGGAGAAGGCUAUGUUGGCCGGGCGACGGUUGUCCCGGUUUAAGCGUGUAGGCUGGUUUUCCAGGCAAAUCCGGAAAAUCAAGGCUGAGGCGUGAUGACGAGGCACUACGGUGCUGAAGCAACAAAUGCCCUGCUUCCAGGAAAAGCCUCUAAGCAUCAGGUAACAUCAAAUCGUACCCCAAACCGACACAGGUGGUCAGGUAGAGAAUACCAAGGCGCUUGAGAGAACUCGGGUGAAGGAACUAGGCAAAAUGGUGCCGUAACUUCGGGAGAAGGCACGCUGAUAUGUAGGUGAGGUCCCUCGCGGAUGGAGCUGAAAUCAGUCGAAGAUACCAGCUGGCUGCAACUGUUUAUUAAAAACACAGCACUGUGCAAACACGAAAGUGGACGUAUACGGUGUGACGCCUGCCCGGUGCCGGAAGGUUAAUUGAUGGGGUUAGCGCAAGCGAAGCUCUUGAUCGAAGCCCCGGUAAACGGCGGCCGUAACUAUAACGGUCCUAAGGUAGCGAAAUUCCUUGUCGGGUAAGUUCCGACCUGCACGAAUGGCGUAAUGAUGGCCAGGCUGUCUCCACCCGAGACUCAGUGAAAUUGAACUCGCUGUGAAGAUGCAGUGUACCCGCGGCAAGACGGAAAGACCCCGUGAACCUUUACUAUAGCUUGACACUGAACAUUGAGCCUUGAUGUGUAGGAUAGGUGGGAGGCUU
rnacentral:rRNA from 1 species